GAUAAACGCUGGCGGCGCACAUAAGACAUGCAAGUCGAACGAACUUAACUCAUUCUUUUAGUUUGAGAGCGGUUAGUGGCGGACUGGUGAGUAACACGUAAGCAACCUGCCUAUUAGAGGGGAAUAACAGUGAGAAAUCACUGCUAAUACCGCAUAUGCUCACAGUAUCACAUGAUACAGUGAGGAAAGGAGUAAUCCGCUAAUAGAUGGGCUUGCGUCUGAUUAGCUAGUUGGUGGGGUAAUGGCCUACCAAGGCGACGAUCAGUAGCCGGACUGAGAGGUUGAACGGCCACAUUGGGACUGAGAUACGGCCCAGACUCCUACGGGAGGCAGCAGUCGGGAAUAUUGCGCAAUGGAGGAAACCCUGAUGCAGCGACGCCGCGUGAGUGAAGAAGUAUUUCGGUAUGUAAAGCUCUAUCAGCAGGGAAGAAAUGACGGCACCUGACUAAGAAGCCCCGGCUAACUACGUGCCAG
rnacentral:rRNA from 1 species